GCUGUUGGGUUGCGAGGUUGUGGGGGUGGAACACUGGAAGCUAUCCUUUGUGGCGCCGUCCGAAGAGGAAUCGUGAUGAGAGCCGGUUUCAACUUCAGAACUAGCGGUCCCAGGAGACUGAGGCGUUGACUCGGUUGAUUCAGUUAGAGGUGCGCAGGCUGCCGCGGCCGCCGCCGCUGCUGCCUGCACGUCGCGGGGCGCGGUGCAUCGGCAGAGGUUAGAGGGAGGACAGUCCGGGAAGUUGAGCGUCGCCGAUGGACCGCGCAAGCACACCACCGCAGCGUCGUAGGCCUUGGCGGCCAUUUCCGCUGUUGGGAAAGAGCCAAGCCAGAUGCGCGACCUCUUGUUCGGUUCCCUGAUCUCCGAAACCCAU
rnacentral:lncRNA from 1 species